rnacentral:tRNA from 1 species
AUCACUGAGGUGUAAAUUAUGCACGUUAGAUUUUCGUUCUACAGGAAUGGCUCCUGCGCCAUUAGUGAUU